CCUACGGGAGGCAGCAGUGAGGAAUAUUGGUCAAUGGACGAGAGUCUGAACCAGCUAAGUAGCGUGAAGGAUGACUGCCCUAUGGGUUGUAAACUUCUUUUAUAUGGGAAUAAAAUGUUCCACGUGUGGGAUUUUGUAUGUACCAUAUGAAUAAGGAUCGGCUAACUCCGUGCCAGCAGCCGCGGUAAUACGGAGGAUCCGAGCGUUAUCCGGAUUUAUUGGGUGUAAAGGGAGCGUAGGUGGAUUGUUAAGUCAGUUGUGAAAGUUUGCGGCUCAACCGUAAAAUUGCAGUUGAAACUGGCAGUCUUGAGUACAGUAGAGGUGGGCGGAAUUCGUGGUGUAGCGGUGAAAUGCUUAGAUAUCACGAAGAACUCCGAUUGCGAAGGCAGUUCACUGGACUGCAACUGACACUGAGGCUCGAAAGUGUGGGUAUCAAACAGGAUUAGAUACCCCUGUAGUC
rnacentral:rRNA from 1 species